rnacentral:snRNA from 1 species
GUGCUCAUUUCAGCAGCACUAAAAUUGGAACGAUACAGAGAAGAUUAGCAUGGCCCCUGUGCAAGGAUGACACACAAAUUUGUGAAGUAUUCCAUAUUUUU